GGACGAACGCUGGCGGCGUGCUUAACACAUGCAAGUCGAACGAUGAAGCCUUUCGGGGUGGAUUAGUGGCGAACGGGUGAGUAACACGUGGGCAAUCUGCCCUGCACUCUGGGACAAGCCCUGGAAACGGGGUCUAAUACCGGAUAUGACAUCCUCCCGCAUGGGAAGGGUGUGGAAAGCUCCGGCGGUGCAGGAUGAGCCCGCGGCCUAUCAGCUUGUUGGUGGGGUGAUGGCCUACCAAGGCGACGACGGGUAGCCGGCCUGAGAGGGCGACCGGCCACACUGGGACUGAGACACGGCCCAGACUCCUACGGGAGGCAGCAGUGGGGAAUAUUGCACAAUGGGCGAAAGCCUGAUGCAGCGACGCCGCGUGAGGGAUGACGGCCUUCGGGUUGUAAACCUCUUUCAGCAGGGAAGAAGCGCAAGUGACGGUACCUGCAGAAGAAGCACCGGCUAACUACGU
rnacentral:rRNA from 1 species